rnacentral:rRNA from 1 species
UACAGAGGGUGCGAGCGUUGUCCGGAAUCACUGGGCGUAAAGGGCGCGUAGGUGGCCUGGUAAGUAGGGGGUGAAAUCUCGAGGCUCAACUUCGAGGCUGCCUCCUAAACUGUCAGGCUUGAGCAGAGUAGAGGCAGGUGGAAUUCCCGGGUGUAGCGGUGGAAUGCGUAGAGAUCGGGAAGAACACUGGUGGCGAAGGCGGCCUGC